rnacentral:rRNA from 1 species
UACGGAGGAUCCGAGCGUUAUCCGGAUUUAUUGGGUUUAAAGGGUGCGUAGGCGGAACGGUAAGUCAGUGGUGAAAGCCUGUUGCUCAACAACAGAACUGCCAUUGAUACUGCCGAUCUUGAGUACAUAUGAUGUGGGCGGAAUGUGUCGUGUAGCGGUGAAAUGCUUAGAUAUGACACAGAACACCGAUUGCGAAGGCAGCUCACAAAACUGUAACUGACGCUGAGGCACGAAAGCGUGGGGAUCAAACAGG